UACGGGGGGGGCAAGCGUUGUUCGGAAUUACUGGGCGUAAAGGGCGCGUAGGCGGUUCGCUAAGUUGAAUGUGAAAACUCUGGGCUUAACCCAGAGCCUGCAUUCAAUACUGGCGGGCUAGAGUUCUGGAGGGGAUAGCGGAAUUCCUGGUGUAGCGGUGAAAUGCGCAGAUAUCAGGAAGAACACCCGUGGCGAAAGCGGCUCUCUGGAACGGUACUGACGCUGAGACGCGAAAGCGUGGGGAGCGAACAGG
rnacentral:rRNA from 1 species